GGCGCGCAGGCCGACCCCCUCCCCACUUGGCCCUGCCCCCAGGCUCCGCCCCGUCCUCCCGGAUCCGCUUCAGACCCACGCCUGCGCGGAGUGGCGGGAGCCGGCGGUGGUUUCGACGCUGGAAAAGAGUCACCGGCCGGCCUGUCUUUGGCUCCUGAUGGCGUCCUAUGUGAUACCCCUGUUGUCGUUUCCUCAGCCCACGCCGCCUUCUAGAUUCUCCAUCGAGGAUGUGGACUUGGGUCCGCAAGGAGGCCACCGGGGCCUCCAAAUGCCUGAUAACAUCUAAGAAGAACUGGAUUUCAAACAUGUUUCAGGACAUUAGCUUCAAACAAAUCUCACCCACCGCUGGCAUCGAUAUCCCCUCCCUGCGAUGAUUUUUGAAAUAACAACUAUUACUCACCUGUCACUCACCCUCGAAUCCAACCCUACCCUGGAUUCCUGGAGUAACACAUACCCUGGACCCUUUCAAUAUAAACUCUUAACCCCAAGUGGUGAAGAGACUCACUCUCGUUUCCUUUCCGAGUCUCCCACUCUGUCUGCUAUACUCUGUCACUUACACUGUUCAAUAAACUCUGCUUUCACUUCCCACUUCCUGAUUUCUCUCCUGCACAAAGCCAAGGACCCUCUUGACUUGUCCUGUGGGACCUCCUCUGUGUUCCUGGACCUGGCCUGUCUACAUCAAAAUGAUACAGAAGUUUGUAAAAAGAAAGCAUAUAUUUACAUCUGUAUAGACGUAUUUUAAUUUUUCAAAGGAAAAGUUAUUACAUCUGUUCUUCCCACCUUUUCAUCCUACUUCUCUGGUUGAUGGACGUUUAGCAGAUAGGUAUCUUCUCCUCUACGUCCACACAUAAGUAAAUGGAUGCGUGUAUAAACAUCCCCUCUAACCACUGUCCCCACUACCACGAACACAUACACAUGCACUAAAAAACCAAAACAUACAUUAAAAAAGCUAAGCGAAAAUUAGAAAGUUAGUCCCUUACUACAUAACUUGCCUUUUUCCUUAACCAAAGACCGCAGACAUCUUUCCAGGUCAGUACAUAUAUUUUUGCAACAGCAAAAAAUCUUGUAUGAACUGGUACUUUUUAUUUCUUUUGUCUGAAUUCCUAAAAGAGAAAUUACUGAGUGGAAUGAUGUGCGCAUCUCUAUUUGUCAGACCUCCAAAACAGGUUGUAGCAAUUUGUACUCUAAGCAUAAUAUCUGAGAAAGUUGGGUUCGACUGUAUGGGUGAAAAUGUGAAAGCCAUUGGUUCUCCUAAAUACAAGUGAGAUAAAGUCUCUUUUCAUAUGUUCCUUGAUGCUUGCAUUUUCUCUUGUGAAGAGAAAUCUUCUCCUCUUCUAGGAGAUCUUUGUGUCUUGGGGAAAAUUAUCCUCUGCUUGUCAUAUAGAAUGCAGUACUUUCUUGCUUACCAUUUUUCUUUGGCAUGGUUUAUAGCAUUUUUGCCAUAUAGGAUUUUGUAUGUGGUCAAACGUUUUUCGUUACUGGAUCCGAGUUUCCUGUGUAGCUUUAAAAAGCCUCGCUUAGUGCUUGCUUCUGCAGCACAUAUACUAAAAUUGGAAGGAUACAGAGAUUAGCAUGGCCCCUCCCUGCCCAUGCAGGAUGAUAUGCAAAUUUGUGAAACAUUAAAAAUAAAAUAAAAUAAAAUAAAAUAAAAUGGCCUCAUUUAUGCCAAGACUAAACAACCAACUAUCCAUCCAAAUGUUUUUCUCAUGCUUUUCUAGUUUGACUUCUUCCAUGCACAUCUUUAAUCAAUAUGAAAUGUAUUUCUACUUAAGUAUAGGGUAGAGCAUCUAACUGACAUUUUUUCCAGAUGGUUAGCAAGUUACGUGAAUAACUCUUACUAGGUAAAUUACUCUUUUUCUAUUGGAAUUGAAAUUUAAACAAUGCAGUGAACACUGAAUGUGUGCCAGGCAUUUCUAAGCAUCUUACUUGUAACUCAUAUAAUCCUCAUACCCCGUGGCAUUAGGUGAAAUGCCAGUUUAUCACAUAAGGUUUUUUUUUUUUUUAACACAGUUGCAUCUGUUUCUAGAGACUUUAUCUGCUUCACUAACCAAUACAGCAGAAAAGAGGAGAAAUGCACUGUGUGCGCACGUACACCUACUUCCCCUGCCCUCCACCACACUUUCCUUCAGUUCUUCUCUCGCCUCUGAGCACCACACUCCUACUUCCAGAUGCCGCCUCAGCAUCUCUGCUUGCGUUGCAACUUGUCUUCUCAGACACAUUGUGGCCCAGAUGGCACUCUUGAUUUCCCCCACCAGCCUGCCCAGCCACCCAGUCUUCCUCUGUGUCAGCCCCACCAAGCACCAUUGCUGCAUCCUCUUCCCACCCCUUGUAGCCAAUCCACUCUGGGGUGCCAGCUCCCCACCAGGAGCAGAUGGGGACUCUUCACUUCUCUGCACACCUUAGCCACCCUCUCCUUUUGCCUGCAUCCCUAGCAUGGCCCCCUACAUUCUUUUCCUGCGUCCUCUCUCCCAGCCCAUUCUUCACAGGGCAUAGUGGCCUUCUUAAAAUGUAAGUCAUUUUUUUGGACAUGGAAUGUCCUUGCUCAGAGUCUCCAGACUCCUCAUUGCACCUGGAACAAAAUUGCCUAGCUGUGCUCUGCGGACCUCUGUUUCUCUUUCUGCCUCCUGCCAUUUGGCCAAAGAUGGGAGCAGUCACAGAGGCACAUGACCAUGGAGUAACUUUCCAGCUCCAGCUUUCUGGUCAUAGAGCCAGAAAGGGGCAUUGUAGAAAAGUACUGGAGAACCGAACUAACAGACCAUCAACCAGGCUCCAGAUGACCACUGAGUAGUAACUGGUUCAGGGUCUAUCCAAAUUGUACUGCAAAGGCUUUGGAAACAACUUAAAUGUGAACCACAACUCACAAAAGGCAGGUUGAGCUUGUAGUAUGACCCUAAGCAGGUCUAUUGCCUAAAACAAAAAUAUGUACAUACUGUAUAGGAUUUAAACAAGACCCAGGGUCUCAUUACAAAAUAUAAUUUCCAGGAGACAGUCCAAAAUUCUUGGCAUAUGAAAAACCAAGGAAAUCUCAUCUCACGUGGGAAAACAACAAUCAACAGACAUCAACAGUAAAAUUGACACAGAUGUUGGAAUUAUCUGGCAAUGACUUGUCCACAGCUAUUGUACGACUGCUCCACCAAACAGUCACACCCUUGAAAACCAGCUUGUCUCAUGAAGGGCUUGGUAGGGAGAGGGGCAGAGAGAGAGACAAUCUUAAGCAGGCUCCACGCUCAGCACAGAGCCCAAUGCAGGGCUCGAUCCCACCACCCUGGGACUAUGACCUCAGCUGAAAUCAAGAGUCAGAUGCUCAAUUGACUGAACCACCCAGGCGCCCCUUAACCAUUUUUAAGCGUACAGUUUGGUAGUGUUAAGUAUACCCACACUGUUGUGGUUAUAGAUCUUUAGUACCAUUUCAUAUUGUUAAACUGAAACUCUAUACCCUGAAAUGCUAGUAAACCCUCCUUCUCACCCUCUCCAGCCCUUGGAAACCACUUUUCUAUCUUCUAUUUCUAUGAUUUUGACUACUGUAGAUACUUCAUAUUAGUGGAAUCACACAGAUUUUGUCCUUUUGUGACUGGCUGAUUCCACUUAGCAUGUCUUUGAGGUUCCUCCAUGUUGUAUAGCGUGUGACAGGAUUUCAUCAUUUUAUUUAUUUAUUUUUGCUUCUUAUUAAAAUUUUUUUAAAUUUAUUUAUUUUGAGAGAGAAAGAGAGAGGCGGGGGAGGGCAGAGACAGAGAGAGAGAGAAAAUCCCAAGCAGGCUUGGUGCUGUCAUGCAGAGCCUGAUGCGGGGCUCCAACCCAUGAACUGUGAGAUCAUGACCUGAGCUGAAAUCAAGAGUCAGACGCUUAACUGACUGAGCCACUCACACGUUCCAGGAUUUUGUAUUUUAAAAGCAGCAUAUUCCUCUGUAUGUAUAUACCAGAUUUUCUUCAUUCAUUCAUCUGUCAACAGACAUUUGAGUUGCUUCCACUUCUUGGCCACUUUGGAUAAUGCAGCAACGGACGUGGGUAUGCAGACAUUUUUUUCAGAUCCUGUUUUAAAUUAUUUUCUUUUUUAAAAUUCCUUUUAGACAAAUACCCAGAAUCGGGAUUGCUGGGUCACAUGGUAGUUGUGUUUUUAAUUUUUGGAGGCACCUCCAGAAACUAAGUAUCUUCCACAGCAGCUGCCCCACUUCAUAGUCCUGCCAACAGUACACAAAGCACUUCAGUUUCUCCACAUGCUCACCGUCACUUGUUAUUGCCUGACUUGUGUGUGCGUUUGUUUAGUGGUGACCAUCUAGUAGGUCUGAGAGGAUAUCUCCCUGUGGUUUUGAUUUGCAUCUCUCUUAUGACUUGUGAAGUUGAGCAUCUUUUCAUAUGUUUGCUAGUUACUUCAGAUUUCUUCUUUCUUGCUGCCUGGUAUAACUCUUUCCGUCCUUUUACUUUCAAUCUGCUUGUGUCUUUGUACUCAGGGUCCUUUUUUUUUUUUUUUUUUGUAUAUAGUGUGCAAUUGUUUUUUUUUUUUUUUUUUAAGUUUCUGUUUUGUUUUUAAUCCAUUCUGACGAUCUCAUUUAAUUGGCAUGCCUAGUGUAUUUAAGGUACUUCCUGAUACCAGGAGGUGAUCUUUGAGGGCAGAGGGCAGACUCUGUUAGCAUAACGGCCCACUGAAGAUGUUUGUGACCUAAUCACCAGGACCUGUGAACAUGUUGUUUUACAUGGCAAGAGGCAUUUUGCACAUGGGAUUAAGGUUACUGACCUUAAAAUGGGGAAGUUAUUCUGGAUAAUCUGGGUGGGCCCAGUCUAGUCACAUGAUUCUUCAAAGCAGAGAACCUUUCCUGGUUGGUCGGAGAGAUGAGACAGAAGAAAAAGGAGGACAGAUUUGAAGCAUGAAAGAGACUCAACCCAAAGUGGUGGCCUUUGAAGAUGGAGUAAGGAAGCCUCGAGUCGUGGAAUGCAGCAGUGCCUUGUGGGAGCUGGGAAUGAGCCUCGGCUGACGGCUAGCAAGAAGGCAGGACACUCAGUCAUACAACCUCAAGGAACUGAAUUCUGUCACCGAUCUGAGUGAGCAGAAAACGGAUUCUGCCCUACAGCCUCUACAAAGCCUGUCAACAAGUUGACUUUGGCCUGGUGAGACCUGUUCAGGACUUCUGACCUUCAGAACUUUAAGAUAAUAAAUCUAUUGUUUUAAGCCA